rnacentral:rRNA from 1 species
CCAAUAGCGUAUAUUAAAGUUGUUGCAGUUAAAAAGCUCGUAGUUGAACUUCAGGCCUGGCUGGAUGGUCCGCCUUCUGGGUGAGUACUGUCUGUGGUCGGGUCCUACCUUCUGGCGAAGCGUCAUGGCCUUCACCGGCCGUGGCGGGGAGCCAGGACUUUUACUGUGAAAAAAUUAGAGUGUUCAAAGCAGGCACGCGCUUGAAUACAUUAGCAUGGAAUAAUGGAAUAGGACAGUGGUUCUAUUUGUUGGUUUCUAGGACCGUUGUAAUGAUUAAUAGGGAUAGUUGGGGGCAUUAGUAUUCAAUUGUCAGAGGUGAAAUUCUUGGAUUUAUUGAAGACUAACUACUGCGAAAGCAUUUGCCAAGGAUGUUUUCAUUAAUCAAGAACGAAAGUUAGGGGAUCGAAGACGAUCAGAUACCGUCGUAGUCUUAACCAUAAACUAUGCCGACUAGGAAUCGGGCGAUGUUGACAAAAUGACGCGCUCGGCACCUCAUG